rnacentral:rRNA from 1 species
CGUGCAUUUAGCUAGUUUGGUAAGGUAACGGCUUACCAAGGCGAUGAUGCAUAGCCGAGUUGAGAGACUGAUCGGCCACAUUGGGACUGAGACACGGCCCAAACUCCUACGGGAGGCAGCAGUAGGGAAUCUUCCACAAUGGACGCAAGUCUGAUGGAGCAACGCCGCGUGAGUGAAGAAGGUUUUCGGAUCGUAAAGCUCUGUUGUUGGUGAAGAAGGAUAGAGGUAGUAACUGGCCUUUAUUUGACGGUAAUCAACCAGAAAGUCACGGGCUAACUACGUGCCAGCAGCCGCGGUAAAU